rnacentral:rRNA from 1 species
UGCACGUCUAAGCAGUAAGGCUGAGUAUUAGGCAAAUCCGGUACUCGUUAAGGCUGAGCUGUGAUGGGGAGAAGACAUUGAGUCUUCGAGUCGUUGAUUUCACACUGCCGAGAAAAGCCUCUAGAUAGAAAAUAGGUGCCCGUACCGCAAACCGACACAGGUAGUCAAGAUGAGAAUUCUAAGGUGAGCGAGCGAACUCUCGUUAAGGAACUCGGCAAAAUGACCCCGUAACUUCGGGAGAAGGGGUGCUCUUUAGGGUUAACGCCCAGAAGAGCCGCAGUGAAUAGGCCCAAGCGACUGUUUAUCAAAAACACAGGUCUCUGCUAAACCGUAAGGUGAUGUAUAGGGGCUGACGCCUGCCCGGUGCUGGAAGGUUAAGAGGAGUGGUUAGCUUCUGCGAAGCUACGAAUCGAAGCCCCAGUAAACGGCGGCCGUAACUAUAACGGUCCUAAGGUAGCGAAAUUCCUUGUCGGGUAAGUUCCGACCCGCACGAAAGGCGUAACGAUUUGGGCACUGUCUCAACGAGAGACUCGGUGAAAUCAUAGUACCUGUGAAGAUGCAGGUUACCCGCGACAGGACGGAAAGACCCCGUGGAGCUUUACUGUAGCCUGAUAUUGAAAUUCGGCACAGCUUGUACAGGAUAGGUAGGAGCCUUUGAAACGUGAGCGCUAGCUUACGUGGAGGCGCUGGUGGGAUACUACCCUAGCUGUGUUGGCUUUCUAACCCGCACCACUUAUCGUGGUGGGAGACAGUGUCAGGCGGGCAGUUUGACUGGGGCGGUCGCCUCCUAAAAGGUAACGGAGGCGCUCAAAGGUUCCCUCAGAAUGGUUGGAAAUCAUUCAUAGAGUGUAAAGGCAUAAGGGAGCUUGACUGCGAGACCUACAAGUCGAGCAGGGUCGAAAGACGGACUUAGUGAUCCGGUGGUUCCGCAUGGAAGGGCCAUCGCUCAACGGAUAAAAGCUACCCCGGGGAUAACAGGCUUAUCUCCCCCAAGAGUUCACAUCGACGGGGAGGUUUGGCACCUCGAUGUCGGCUCAUCGCAUCCUGGGGCUGUAGUCGGUCCCAAGGGUUGGGCUGUUCGCCCAUUAAAGCGGUACGCGAGCUGGGUUCAGAACGUCGUGAGACAGUUCGGUCCCUAUCCGUCGUGGGCGUAGGAAAUUUGAGAGGAGCUGUCCUUAGUACGAGAGGACCGGGAUGGACAUACCUCUGGUGUACCAGUUGUCGUGCCAACGGCAUAGCUGGGUAGCUAUGUGUGGACGGGAUAAGUGCUGAAAGCAUCUAAGCAUGAAGCCCCCCUCAAGAUGAGAUUUCCCAACUUCGGUUAUAAGAUCCCUCAAAGAUGAUGAGGUUAAUAGGUUCGAGGUGGAAGCAUGGUGACAUGUGGAGCUGACGAAUACUAAUCGAUCGAAGAC